UCUUUUUAAACAACGCCUUCAUACUGUUUCGAUAAUCUGGAAGCCUCAGUGCAUACACAAUUGGAUUGACAGCGAAAUUCACCAUGGCAACUGACAACAUCUGUCGGCUACGUAUGGGAUACUUUGCAAUCAUGUAAGUUUGCCAUGUGAGUGAUGUCAAGUGAAAAAAUGAGCCCGCAGCCCCAAACAUCCAAAA